rnacentral:rRNA from 1 species
UUGUCACUAGUUAUAGACCCGAACCCGGAUGAUCUAACCAUGGCCAGGUUGAAGCUUAGGUAAUACUAAGUGGAGGACCGAACCGACUGAUGUUGAAAAAUCAGCGGAUGAGCUGUGGUUAGGGGUGAAAUGCCAAUCGAAUUCGGAGCUAGCUGGUUCUCCCCGAAAUGCGUUUUGGCGCAGCGGUAAAUGUUAUAAUUUAGGGGUAAAGCACUGUUACGUAUGCGGGCUGGUAAUUCGGUACCAAAUCGUUGCAAACUAAGAAUACUAGAUGAAUAGUUUACCAGUAAGACUGUGGGGGAUAAGCUCCAUUGUCAAGAGGGAAACAGCCCAGAGCACCAGUUAAGGCCCUUAAAAAUUACUAAGUGGUAAAGGAGGUGGGAGUGCAUAAACAAUCAGGAGGUUUGCUUAGAAGCAGCAAUCCUUUAAAGAGUGCGUAAUAGCUCACUGAUCGAGUAAACCUGCGCCGAAAAUGAAUGGGACUAAGUAAUUUGCCGAAGCUGUGCGAUAUACUAUAAGUAUAUCGGUAGGGGAGCGUUCUGUUGUAGAUUGAAGUAUUAGCGUAAGCGGAUAUGGACGAAGCAGAAGUGAGAAUGUCGGCUUGAGUAACGAAAAUAUAGGUGAGAAUCCUAUACCCCGAAAACCCAAGGUUUCCUCCGGAAGGCUCGUCCGCGGAGGGUAAGUCAGGACCUAAGGCGAGGCUGAAAAGCGUAGUCGAUGGACAACGGGUUAAUAUUCCCGUACCAUUUUUUAUUGAUAACGAGGGACGGAGAAGGCUAGGCUGGCCGGAUGUUGGUUACCGGUUUAAACGUUCAAGAUGUUGAGAAGUGGAGAAAACACUUUGAGUUGAGGCGUGAAUAGGAGAUACUACGGUAUCGAAGCAGUUGAUGUCAGACUUCCAAGAAAAGCUCGCAAUGUCGUAAAUAAAAAAUGCCUGUACCAUAACCGACACAGGUGGGUAGGUAGAGUAUACUAAGGGGCGCGAGAUAACUCUCUCUAAGGAACUCGGCAAAAUAACUCCGUAACUUCGGGAGAAGGAGUGCCUUAUUCGUAAGGUUGCAAUAACAAGAUCCAAGCAACUGUUUAUCAAAAACACAGGUCUCCGCUAAGUCGUAAGACGAUGUAUGGGGGCUGACGCCUGCCCAGUGCCAGAAGGUUAAAGAAGUUGGUUAGCAUUAGCGAAGCUGAUAACUGAAGCCCUGGUGAACGGCGGCCGUAACUAUAACGGUCCUAAGGUAGCGAAAUUCCUUGUCGGGUAAGUUCCGACCCGCACGAAAGGCGUAAUGAUUUGGAUACUGUCUCGGAGAGGGGCUCGGUGAAAUAGACUUGUCUGUGAAGAUGCGGACUACCUGCACCAGGACAGAAAGACCCUAUGAAGCUUUACUGUA